AUUGAACGCUGGCGGCAGGCCUAACACAUGCAAGUCGAACGAGUGGCGGACGGGUGAGUAAUGUCUGGGAAACUGCCCGAUGGAGGGGGAUAAAUACUGGAAACGGUAGCUAAUACCGCCUACCAUCGGAUGUGCCCAGAUGGGAUUAGCGAGUAGGUGGGGUAAAGGCUCACCUAGGCGACGAUCCCUAGCUGGUCUGAGAGGAGUACCCGCCACACUGGAAUUGAGACACGGUCCAGACUCCUACGGGAGGCAGCAGUGGGGAAUAUUGCACAAUGGGCGCACGCCUGAUACAGCCAUGCCGCGUGUAUGAAGAAGGCCUUCGGGUUGUAAAGUACUUUCAGCGGUGAGGCGUUACCCGCAGAAGAAGCACCGGCUAACUCCGUGCCAGCAGCCGCGGUAAUAC
rnacentral:rRNA from 1 species